rnacentral:rRNA from 1 species
AGCUCCAAUAGCGUAUAUUAAAGUUGUUGCAGUUAAAACGCUCGUAGUUGAAUCUCGGGCCGGACGGGACGGCGGGCCAUGAGGCUUUAGCUUGUCUUGCUGGUCAAAUCUUUUCCGGAGUGGACCGCAUGCACUUCACUGGGUGUGCGGAGAUCUCUGCUCCGGACGUUUACUUUGAAAAAAUUAGAGUGUUCAAAGCAGGCGUUUCGCUGUGAAUAUCUUAGCAUGGAAUAAUGAAAUAUGACUUUUGGUUGUGUUUUGUUGGUUUUAAUGACCGAAGUAAUGAUUAAUAGGGACUGUUGGGGGCAUUUGUAUUUCGUUGUCAGAGGUGAAAUUCUUGGAUUUACGAAAGACAAACUACUGCGAAAGCAUCUGCCAAGGAUGUUUUCA